AAUGGGGAAACCCGGCCAUUUAUGGUCAUUCAUAUCUGAAUGCAUAGGAUAUGAAAGCGAACCUGGUGAAGUGAAACAUCUAAGUAACCAGAGGAAAAGAUAACAACCGUUAUUCCGUAAGUAGCGGCGAGCGAAAGCGGAUCAACUCAUAGCGUCGUGAACCACUUGAAAGGUGGACCGCAGAAGGUGAUAGUCCUGUAGCGGCGUAGUGAGCCAGCCCUAGAGUAGGGUCGAGCUCGUGAAACUCGGCUUGAAUAUGGGGGGCCCACCCCCCAAGGCUAAAUACUCCUCGAUGACCGAUAGUUGACCAGUAAGGCGACUGAACGGUGAAAAGUUCCCCGAUAAGGGAAGUUAAAAGUACCUGAAACCAUACGCUUACAAGCGGUCGGAGCCGAUCUUCGGAUCGGUGACGGCGUGCCUUUUGCAUAAUGAGCCGGCGAGUUAAUCUCUGUAGCAAGCUUAAGCGGUACCCCCGCGUAGGCGAAGCGAAAGCGAGUCUUAAAAGGGCGAACUAGUUGCAGGGAUUAGACGCGAAACCAGGUGAUCUACCCAUGGCCAGGUUGAAGGGGCGGUAACACGCCCUGGAGGACCGAACCCGUAAUCGUUGAAAAGAUUUGGGAUGAGCUGUGGGGAGGAGUCAAAGUCUAAUCAUACCUGGAGAUAUCUCGUUCUCUUCGAAAUAGUUUUUGGGCUAGCCUCACGUUAUACCCUGCAGGGGUAGAGCGACUGAUUGGGACUGGGGGGCACCAGCCUACCCACCCCAGCCAAACUCCGAAUACUGCAGGACUCUAUCGUGGGAGUCAGACCGCGGGGGAUAAUCUUCGUGGUCAAGAGGGAAACAACCCAGACCGCC
rnacentral:rRNA from 1 species